rfam:Gossypium hirsutum cultivar TM-1 chromosome 1, whole genome shotgun sequence
UAGUGACUUUGAUAUUGGCCUGGUUCACUCAGACAUGAAACAUAAAAGACACUUUCUCUCUUUUUUAUUAUUAUUUUGGUCUGAUUGAGCCGUGCCAAUAUCUUAGUGCUCUUU